rnacentral:rRNA from 1 species
UAGGGAAUAUUGGGCAAUGGAGGCAACUCUGACCCAGCCAUGCCGCGUGCAGGAAGAAGGCGUUAUGCGUUGUAAACUGCUUUUAUAUGGGAAGAAAAAGACUAUGCGUAGUAAAUUGACGGUACCAUAUGAAUAAGCACCGGCUAACUCCGUGCCAGCAGCCGCGGUAAUACGGAGGGUGCAAGCGUUGUCCGGAUUUAUUGGGUUUAAAGGGUGCGUAGGCGGCUUUUUAAGUCAGCGGUGAAAGACUGUCGCUCAACGACGGAACUGCCGUUGAUACUGAUUAGCUUGAGUAUGAUUGAGGCAGCCGGAAUGGAUAGUGUAGCGGUGAAAUGCAUAGAUAUUAUCCAGAACGCCGAUAGCGUAGGCAGGUUGCUAAGUCAUUACUGACGCUGAGGCA